rnacentral:rRNA from 1 species
UCGGUAAUUCCAGCUCCAAUAGCGUAUAUUAAAGUUGCUGCAGUUAAAAAGCUCGUAGCUGAACCUUGGGCCUGGUUGACCGGUCCGCCUAACGGUGUGCACUGGCUUAACCGGGCCUUUCCUUCUGGCUAGCCUGUAUGUCCUUUAUUGGGUGUGCAGGGGAACCAGGACUUUUACUUUGAAAAAAUUAGAGUGCUCAAGGCAGGCUUAUGCUCGAAUACAUUAGCAUGGAAUAAUAGAAUAGGACGUGUGGUUCUAUUUUGUUGGUUUCUAGGACCGCCGUAAUGAUUAAUAGGGACAGUUGGGGACAUUAGUAUUGAGUUGUCAGAGGUGAAAUUCUUGGAUUUACUCAAGACUAACUACUGCGAAAGCAUUUGUCAAGGAUGUUUUCAUUAGUCAAGAACGAAAGUUAGGGGAUCGAAGACGAUCAGAUACCGUCGUAGUCUUAACCAUAAACUAUGCCGACUAGGGAUCGGGCGAUGUUCUUUUCUUGACUCGCCCGGCACCUUAUGAGAAAUCAAAGUUUUUGGGUUCCGGGGGGAGUAUGGUCGCAAGGCUGAAACUUAAAGAAAUUGACGGAAGGGCACCACCAGGAGUGGAGCCUGCGGCUUAAUUUGACUCAACACGGGGAAACUCACCAGGUCCAGACAAAGUAAGGAUUGACAGAUUGAUAGCUCUUUCUUGAUUCUUUGGGUGGUGGUGCAUGGCCGUUCUCAGUUGGUGGAGUGAUUUGUCUGCUUAAUUGCGAUAACGAACGAGACCUUAACCUGCUAAAUAGCCCGACUAGCUUUUGCUGCUCGCUGGCUUCUUAGAGGGACUAUUGGCAUAAAGCCAAUGGAAGUUUGAGGCAAUAACAGGUCUGUGAUGCCCUUAGAUGUUCUGGCCGCACGCGCGCUACACUGACGGAGCCAGCGAGUUCAUUCCUUGGCCGGAAGGUCUGGGUAAUCUUGUGAAACUCCGUCGUGAUGGGGAUAGAGCAUUGCAAUUAUUGCUCUUCAACGAGGAAUUCCUAGUAAGCGCAAGUCAUCAGCUUGCGUUGAUUACGUCCCUGCCCUUUGUACACACCGCCCGACGCUACUACCGAUUGAAUGGCUUAGUGAGACCUCCGGAUUGACGUUGGGCUGCUGGCAACGGCGGCUCUUUGUUGAGAAGUUGGUCAAACUUGGUCAUUUAGAGGAAGUAAAAGUCGUAACAAGGUAGCCGUA